UGGGGGGCCCGCUGUACAUGCAGUCGACGCUGAGCCUGGUGCUUGCACCGGGUGGAUGAGUGGCGAACGGGUGAGUAACACGUGAGUAACCUGCCCCUGACUUCGGGAUAAGCCCGGGAAACUGGGUCUAAUACCGGAUACGACUGCCGGACGCAUGUCUGGUGGUGGAAAGUUUUUUCGGUUGGGGAUGGGCUCGCGGCCUAUCAGUUUGUUGGUGAGGUAAUGGCUCACCAAGACGACGACGGGUAGCCGGCCUGAGAGGGCGACCGGCCACACUGGGACUGAGACACGGCCCAGACUCCUACGGGAGGCAGCAGUGGGGAAUAUUGCACAAUGGGGGAAACCCUGAUGCAGCGACGCACCGUUGACGGGAUUGAACCGGGUCCAGUCGGAUGGUUAAUCCGCUUUCCAGGCAGGGAAGAAGGCGCAAGUGACCGUACCUGCAGGAAAAAAGGUACCUGCCUAACUACGUGCCCAGCAGCCCGCGGCUAAUACGUAGGGUACGAGACGUUGUCCCGGGAAUUAUUUGGGCGUAAAGAGCUCGUAGGUGGUUGGUCACGUCUGCUGUGGAAACGCAACGCUUAACGUUGCGCGUGCAGUGGGUACGGGCUGACUAGAGUGCAGUAGGGGAGUCUGGAAUUCCUGGUGUAGCGGUGAAAUGCGCAGAUAUCAGGAGGAACACCGGUGGCGAAGGCGGGACUCUGGGCUGUAACUGACACUGAGGAGCGAAAGCAUGGGGAGCGAACAGGAUUAGAUACCCUGGUAGUCCAUGCCGUAAACGUUGGGCACUAGGUGUGGGGGGCAUUCCACGUUCUCCGCGCCGUAGCUAACGCAUUAAGUGCCCCGCCUGGGGAGUACGGUCGCAAGGCUAAAACUCAAAGGGAAUUGACGGGGGGCCCGUCACAAGCGGCGGGAGUCAUGCGGGAUUAAUUCGAUGCAACGCGAAGAACCCUUUACCAAGGGCUUUGACAUACACCGGACCGUUCCUGGAAACAGGUCCGUCUUCUUUGAAGCUGGGUGUACCAGGUUGGUUGCCAUGGAAUGUCGUCAGCUUCGUGUCGUUGAGAUGCUUUGGGUUUAAGUCCCGCAACGACGCGACCAAACUCCUCGUUCUAUGUUGCCAGCACGUGAUGGUGGGAACUCAUAGGAGACUGCCGGGGUCAACUCGGAGGAAGGUGGGGAUGACGUCAAAUCAUCAUGCCCUUUAUGUCUUGGGCUUCACGCAUGCUACAAUGGCUGGUACAGAGAGAGGCGAACCCGUGAGGGCAAGCGAAUCCCUUAAAGCCAGUCUCAGUUCGGAUCGUAGUCUGCAAUUCGACUACGUGAAGUCGGAGUCGCUAGUAAUCGCAGAUCAGCAACGCUGCGGUGAAUACGUUCCCGGGCCUUGUACACACCGCCCGUCAAGUCACGAAAGUCGGUAACACCCGAAGCCGGUGGCCUAACUCGUAAGGAGGAGCCGCCUAUUAUGAUUGUUCCCGU
rnacentral:rRNA from 1 species